rnacentral:rRNA from 1 species
AGUCGACGAGACCUUCGGGUCUAGUGGCGCACGGGUGCGUAACGCGUGGGAAUCUGCCCUUAGGUACGGAAUAACAGUGAGAAAUUACUGCUAAUACCGUAUGAUGUCGAGAGACCAAAGAUUUAUCGCCUAGGGAUGAGCCCGCGUAGGAUUAGCUAGUUGGUGGGGUAAAGGCCUACCAAGGCUACGAUCCUUAGCUGGUCUGAGAGGAUGAUCAGCCACACUGGGACUGAGGCACGGCCCAGACUCCUACGGGAGGCAGCAGUGGGGAAUAUUGGACAAUGGGCGAAAGCCUGAUCCAGCAAUGCCGCGUGAGUGAAGAAGGCCUUCGGGUUGUAAAGCUCUUUUACCCGGGAAGAUAAUGACUGUACCGGGAGAAUAAGCUCCGGCUAACUCCGUGCCAGCAGCCGCGGUAAUACGGAGGGAGCUAGCGUUGUUCGGAAUUACUGGGCGUAAAGCGUACGUAGGCGGCUUUGUAAGUCAGAGGUGAAAGCCCACGACUCAAUCGUGGAACUGCCUUUGAGACUGCUUCGCUUGAAGAUGGGAGAGGUUAGUGGAAUUCCGAGUGUAGAGGUGAAAUUCGUAGAUAUUCGGAAGAACACCAGUGGCGAAGGCGGCUAACUGGACCAUUCUUGACGCUGAGGUACGAAAGCGUGGGGAGCAAACAGGAUUAGAUACCCUGGUAGUCCACGCCGUAAACGAUGAUAACUAGCUGUCGGGGCUCUUGGAGCUUCGGUGGCGCAGCUAACGCAUUAAGUUAUCCGCCUGGGGAGUACGGCCGCAAGGUUAAAACUCANAGGAAUUGACGGGGGCCUGCACAAGCGGUGGA